ACUAAUAAAUUAAAGUUUGUUUUGUUUGAACUUAAAAAAAAAAAAAUUACAAUUUAUUCUACUUUUAAUAGGUACUAUAUUAUAUACAUUUGUAUGCUACCAUCUACAGGGUCAUUGCAUAUCUCACACAUGGCUGUUAAUGGCAAGAUGCAAUCAGAACAAAACCAUCCGUGCCCACAGUCGAUAUAGAUGUAACGUGCCCUAUUUGGUACAUCCCGCAUUUGUCUCAUGCAUGCCAAGCAUUGACUUCCAGUUGGAUCAGCCAAGUUAUUAUUUUGUAACCAGUUAAUAUGCAUAAUCUGGAUCCUUUGCAUCCGCGGAAAUGGGGCUGUACAUAUUGGACAGUUGUUGAGCUUUAAUCCACAUGAAUCGCAACACCAUCCAUGCCCACAUGGGAUAAGAAUGUUUGCACUACCAACAUCUGCAUGAUCAUUCAGACAGAUAAAACACCUGUCCAAUAGAUGAUCAUCUGUAUGCAAAUUAUGUGGAGAAUGUUGUUGUACAAUUGGCUCAACUGGUUGAUGAAACCCUUCUUCCAAAAUAACAUCUAAAUGUAGAAAUAUUAUACUUUAAUACCAGUUGUUAAAAUUUGAUUCAAAGUCAAAUCAAAAUGAUUUGUGAAUUUACCUUCAAAAUUAGCUUCAUCCGGUCUGACGACAAUAACUUCAUCUACACCUAUUGGUGGUUCAACAGGUACAUCUGGAAUAAGAAAUUAAAACUUAUAUAGGUACUUUUAAAAAUUUAAUAAUAUACAAACCUUCAAAAUAAGGGGAGUCCGGUCUAACGACAACUAUCUCUUCUUCCACUGCUGGUUCGACAAGUUGUAAACUUGCCUACUAGUUGCCCACGACCUCUACCGGGUUGAACUUGACCACGAGGUCGUCCGCGGCGUCUUUGAAUGUGAGGGAUGAUUCGGUUACCUCGCCCCCCACGUCCUCUUCUUUGUGCUAUUUGCCGGCCAUUAUUUGCCGGAAGAGGAGGUGGUAACAGCGGUUCAAGUUGUACAUGUGGUAGCUGCUGAAUUUCAUCUUCCUGAUGUACUAUAUCAAAUGU